AGCUUUGCGCAGGGGUAAUAUCAUAGCCAAUGAUGGUUUACUAAGGUGUGAUUACUGUUAUUUGAAAACAUUACCCAAUACCCCGUUAAGUCUGUUUUUUGACAGACUUGGCAAUUUUUUAACAUCUCUCAGUAGA